GUCGCGAAAGGGCACUGCUAACAACCAGCUUGGCACAACAGAAGAGAUUCCUCAUCUCGCAAGCCUCUAAACCAACCAUAGUCGGUUCCCACCCAUGCUGAAAUAGGUAUCGUUCCCAUUUUAACUCCAACUCUAUGAUUCUGGUUUCUGCAAGGGUUAGUCGUGAGGUAGACCGAACAAUUCCAACGUAUUCCCACAUGAUUGACUGUAGUUCUUUCCUCACUUCCCUUGUCUGACGAAUGACUUUGUUAACUACUGUAUCUCCUAGUAACAAGGGUGCUACAGGCCGCGGCCACCAAUUUGAAGCACUGUGACCGAUUUUAGAAAGGUUCAUGUGAUCUAUUGAAGGCUUUACAGCUCUUCGUGCAAACACUAGUGCUUCAGCCAAGGAGUUGCUAGCAAGUCGGUUUGCACCAUGCAAACCAGUACAUGCAACUUCACCUGCCACAUAAAGACCUCGUACAUUAGUCUCACCUUCGAGCCCAG
rnacentral:misc_RNA from 1 species